rnacentral:rRNA from 1 species
GCUUAGAGUUUGAUCCUGGCUCAGGAUGAACGCUGGCGGUAUGCUUAACACAUGCAAGUCGAACGGAGUACUUCGGUACUUAGUGGCGGACGGGUGAGUAACGCGUGAGAAUCUGCCUUCAGGAUGGGGAUAACAGUGGGAAACCAUUGCUAAUACCCAAUGAGCCGAGAGGUAAAAAAUUUAUUGCCUGAAGAGGGGCUCGCGUCCGAUUAGUUAGUUGGUGGGGUAAAGGCUUACCAAGACGGCGAUCGGUAGCUGGUCUGAGAGGAUGAGCAGCCACACUGGGACUGAGACACGGCCCAGACUCCUACGGGAGGCAGCAGUGGGGAAUUUUCCGCAAUGGGCGAAAGCCUGACGGAGCAAUACCGCGUGAGGGAGGAAGGCCUUUGGGUUGUAAACCUCUUUUCUUAAGGAAGAAGAUCUGACGGUACUUAAGGAAUCAGCAUCGGCUAACUCCGUGCCAGCAGCCGCGGUAAUACGGAGGAUGCAAGCGUUAUCCGGAAUUAUUGGGCGUAAAGCGUCCGCAGGCGGCACUAUAAGUCUGCUGUCAAAGACCGCAGCUCAACUGCGGAAAGGCAGUGGAAACUGUAGAGCUGGAGUACGGUAGGGGUAGAGGGAAUUCCCAGUGUAGCGGUGAAAUGCGUAGAGAUUGGGAAGAACACCAGUGGCGAAGGCGCUCUACUGGGCCGUAACUGACGCUCAGGGACGAAAGCUAGGGGAGCGAAAGGGAUUAGAUACCCCUGUAGUC